rnacentral:rRNA from 1 species
UACGGAAGGCAGCAGUGGGGAAGUAAUUGCACAAUGGGCGCAAGCCUGAUGCAGCCAUGCCGCGUGUAUGAAGAAAGGCCUUCGGGUUGUAAAGUACUUUCAGUCGUGAGGAAGGUGUUAAGGUUAAUAACCUUAGCAAUUGACGUUAGCGACAGAAGAAGCACCGGCUAACUCCGUGCCAGCAGCCGCGGUAAUACGGAGGGUGCGAGCGUUAAUCGGAAUUACUGGGCGUAAAGGGCACGCAGGCGGUUAAUUAAGUUGGAUGUGAAAUCCCCGGGCUUAACCUGGGAAUGGCAUUCAAGACUGGUUAGCUAGAGUCUUGUAGAGGGGGUAGAAUUCCAUGUGUAGCGGUGAAAUGCGUAGAGAUGUGGAGGAAUACCGGUGGCGAAGGCGGCCCCUGGACAAAGACUGACGCUCAUGUGCGAAAGCGUGGGGAGCAAACAGGGAUUAGAUACC